AGGCAGGAGAGAAAGGUUUGACAUGAAGCCCUGGGAGAGGUCACCUCUCCCACCGAGCCCGUCAGGCCAGCCACCGCGGCUCUGACUCAGGCGGCACUUGGCCGUGGAGCUCAGCCUUCCAUGUGACCUCCCUGGACAAAGAGCCCCAGUAGUAAGACUCUUCCUCUUUAAGAUGUUCCAAACUCCGUGAAAUUCCUCCCUUGGUGUGCAAACAAAGCAAGUCACGAGUUCUCUUACCGUGAAGACCCCCCGCCCCCCGCCAGCCCCCGGGCAGCCUCCCACCUACGGGCAUCAAAAAGUUAAAUCUUCAUUUUGGAGAUCAGACAAGUUUGUGGAACUUUGAGUUGUUACGUCAAAUCCACUUGAAACUCCCAGCGACCUCUGCAAUUAUCAUCACGAGAACUUCUCAUUCUGACACGAGCUUCAUUUAAAAGCUUCAAUAUUAUCUUCUUUGACAACUUGAUCCUGGAAGAAUGAGAGAUGGGAAGAGAGAAAACUUCAGUUCAUCAGCUAUGCAGUCCAGUAACUGGCCAUUCUCAAACUGUAAUUUUGUGACCACAGGUAUAAACUUUUUGAAAUUAUAUUACAUGCAAUUCACCUGCUUCACAAUGUUUUCUAAGGAAUUGAAAGUGUCUUGUCUAAACAUUGUAACGUGAGCAUUUCAGUU